rnacentral:piRNA from 1 species
UCCAUGGUUUAAGCUACCUGUUUGCCGUUC